AUUGAACGCUGGCGGCAGGCCUAACACAUGCAAGUCGAGCGGAUGAAGGGAGCUUGCUCCUGGAUUCAGCGGCGGACGGGUGAGUAAUGCCUAGGAAUCUGCCUGGUAGUGGGGGAUAACGUCCGGAAACGGGCGCUAAUACCGCAUACGUCCUGAGGGAGAAAGUGGGGGAUCUUCGGACCUCACGCUAUCAGAUGAGCCUAGGUCGGAUUAGCUAGUUGGUGGGGUAAAGGCCUACCAAGGCGACGAUCCGUAACUGGUCUGAGAGGAUGAUCAGUCACACUGGAACUGAGACACGGUCCAGACUCCUACGGGAGGCAGCAGUGGGGAAUAUUGGACAAUGGGCGAAAGCAUGAUCCAGCCAUGCCGCGUGUGUGAAGAAGGUCUUCGGAUUGUAAAGAACUUUAAGUUGGGAGGAAGGGCAGUAAGUUAAUACCUUGCUGUUUUGACGGUACCAACAGAAUAAGCACCGGCUAACUUCGUG
rnacentral:rRNA from 1 species